GGACCUAGGGACGCACGGGCGGCUUCAGAUCCGGGAGCGCGAGGCCUAACAGCCGGGGGCCGAACUUGAACCUCGGAGGCGGCCGCGGGCGAGGGGCGGGGCCGAAGGGGCCGGGACCGCCGCCCCAGCUCGAGGACCCGUUAGACCGGCAAACCGCAGUCCCUGCCCCGCGGGCUUCCUUUACUUUUUGGGAGUGGGGGGCGGUUUCCCUGCUUUUUCCACCACAGCCCCUCCUCCCGCCGCAAUGUGGCUGAUGCUCAUAAAAAGUUGUAUUAAAGAGCUGACUGCAGCCGAGAAUCGAUCAACAAAAGCGACCAGCCUCUCUGGGUCACACUCCUUCAGCUUCCCCGUUUCUGAAUCCCAGGUCUGGAUCUUUAUGAAAUCAGAUGGAGAGAUGGGGUUGGGGGGACGGGGGGGUCAAGUUGCCAGGAACAGAAAGGAACAUCCACCCGACUGUGACAGAUGAGCUUUAUGCCAGUCCAGGAAACAAAACAUUUGACCUUAGGUCUAUCCACGGCCUUCUCAACAGAUGACUUCAAGUUGAUUUCGUGCUUUAUUUCUUAAGAAUAGUGACUAACCUAAGGGAUCUGAUUCAAUUUAUUAGGAACACAGUGCCACCUUCCAAAAUUACUUACCUAAGAGGACUGAGCCUGCUGUCCCUGGAGCAGUUAGCUAAAACAGUGCCUCAGUACGGAGCGUACCUGUGUUAACUUCUAGAGUGCUGUUUCCGGCAGCUGCUGAAAUCCACGCUGAGGUUAUCAAGCUCAUCCUACAAAAUAAAGUGUCUCUGAUGAAUGACACAUUGAUCAACCCAUAUUCUUCAGACUCUACCAUGUGAAGCCAAUGAAAGAUGCCUGCUGGUGACCAAAUGAUGUUCAUGUAAAAUGGCCAUUCUGGCAAAUUUAAUAAGCUUUAGAUUUAUUUUAAAAACCAACCAGUAUUUCUAUCCCUUCUCAAGGCAAUGUUUUCUAUUUGAGGUUUCACUUGACAUGACCAGG
rnacentral:lncRNA from 1 species